rnacentral:rRNA from 1 species
CUGUCGUAAUGCCUAAAAAGCAUUGCAUACAAGGGCCGGGCAAGACCCGUGCCAGCCGCCGCGGUAACACCGGCGGCUCGAGUGGUAACCGCUAUUAUUGGGUCUAAAGGGUCUGUAGCCGGCUGACUAAGUCUCUUGGGAAAUCUGACAGCUUAACUGUCAGGCUUUCAGGAGAUACUGAUCGGCUCGAGACCGGGAGAGGUGAGAGGUACCUCAGGGGUAGGGGUGAAAUCUUGUAAUCCUUGAGGGACCACCAGUGGCGAAGGCGUCUCACCAGAACGGAUCUGACGGCAAGGGACGAAAGCUAGGGGCACGAACCGGAUUAGAUACCCGGGUAGUCCUAGCCGUAAACGAUACUCGCUAGGUGUCGGCCACGGUGCGACCGUGGUCGGUGCCGUAGGGAAGCCGUGAAGCGAGCCACCUGGGAAGUACGGCCGCAAGGCUGAAA